rnacentral:rRNA from 3 species
AGACCCGAAACCCGGUGAUCUAGCCAUGGGCAGGUUGAAGGUUGGGUAACACUAACUGGAGGACCGAACCGACUAAUGUUGAAAAAUUAGCGGAUGACCUGUGGCUGGGGGUGAAAGGCCAAUCAAACCGGGAGAUAGCUGGUUCUCCCCGAAAGCUAUUUAGGUAGCGCCUCGUGAAUUCAUCUCCGGGGGUAGAGCACUGUUUCGGCUAGGGGGCCAUCCCGGCUUACCAACCCGAUGCAAACUGCGAAUACCGGAGAAUGUUAUCACGGGAGACACACGGCGGGUGCUAACGUCCGUCGUGAAGAGGGAAACAACCCAGACCGCCAGCUAAGGUCCCAAAGUCAUGGUUAAGUGGGAAACGAUGUGGGAAGGCCCAGACAGCCAGGAUGUUGGCUUAGAAGCAGCCAUCAUUUAAAGAAAGCGUAAUAGCUCACUGGUCGAGUCGGCCUGCGCGGAAGAUGUAACGGGGCUAAACCAUGCACCGAAGCUGCGGCAGCGACACUGUGUGUUGUUGGGUAGGGGAGCGUUCUGUAAGCCUGCGAAGGUGGCCUGUGAGGGUUGCUGGAGGUAUCAGAAGUGCGAAUGCUGACAUAAGUAACGAUAAAGCGGGUGAAAAGCCCGCUCGCCGGAAGACCAAGGGUUCCUGUCCAACGUUAAUCGGGGCAGGGUGAGUCGACCCCUAAGGCGAGGCCGAAAGGCGUAGUCGAUGGGAAACGGGUUAAUAUUCCCGUACUUGGUGUUACUGCGAAGGGGGGACGGAGAAGGCUAUGUUGGCCGGGCGACGGUUGUCCCGGUUUAAGCGUGUAGGCUGGUUUUCCAGGCAAAUCCGGAAAAUCAAGGCUGAGGCGUGAUGACGAGGCACUACGGUGCUGAAGCAACAAAUGCCCUGCUUCCAGGAAAAGCCUCUAAGCAUCAGGUAACAUCAAAUCGUACCCCAAACCGACACAGGUGGUCAGGUAGAGAAUACCAAGGCGCUUGAGAGAACUCGGGUGAAGGAACUAGGCAAAAUGGUGCCGUAACUUCGGGAGAAGGCACGCUGACACGUAGGUGAAGUGAUUUACUCAUGGAGCUGAAGUCAGUCGAAGAUACCAGCUGGCUGCAACUGUUUAUUAAAAACACAGCACUGUGCAAACACGAAAGUGGACGUAUACGGUGUGACGCCUGCCCGGUGCCGGAAGGUUAAUUGAUGGGGUCAGCGCAAGCGAAGCUCCUGAUCGAAGCCCCGGUAAACGGCGGCCGUAACUAUAACGGUCCUAAGGUAGCGAAAUUCCUUGUCGGGUAAGUUCCGACCUGCACGAAUGGCGUAAUGAUGGCCAGGCUGUCUCCACCCGAGACUCAGUGAAAUUGAACUCGCUGUGAAGAUGCAGUGUACCCGCGGCAAGACGGAAAGACCCCGUGAACCUUUACUAUAGCUUGACACUGAACAUUGAGCCUUGAUGUGUAGGAUAGGUGGGAGGCUUUGAAGUGUGGACGCCAGUCUGCAUGGAGCCGACCUUGAAAUACCACCCUUUAAUGUUUGAUGUUCUAACGUGGACCCGUUACCCGGGUUGCGGACAGUGUCUGGUGGGUAGUUUGACUGGGGCGGUCUCCUCCUAAAGAGUAACGGAGGAGCACGAAGGUUGGCUAAUCCUGGUCGGACAUCAGGAGGUUAGUGCAAUGGCAUAAGCCAGCUUGACUGCGAGCGUGACGGCGCGAGCAGGUGCGAAAGCAGGUCAUAGUGAUCCGGUGGUUCUGAAUGGAAGGGCCAUCGCUCAACGGAUAAAAGGUACUCCGGGGAUAACAGGCUGAUACCGCCCAAGAGUUCAUAUCGACGGCGGUGUUUGGCACCUCGAUGUCGGCUCAUCACAUCCUGGGGCUGAAGUAGGUCCCAAGGGUAUGGCUGUUCGCCAUUUAAAGUGGUACGCGAGCUGGGUUUAGAACGUCGUGAGACAGUUCGGUCCCUAUCUGCCGUGGGCGCUGGAGAACUGAGGGGGGCUGCUCCUAGUACGAGAGGACCGGAGUGGACGCAUCACUGGUGUUCGGGUUGUCAUGCCAAUGGCACUGCCCGGUAGCUAAAUGCGGAAGAGAUAAGUGCUGAAAGCAUCUAAGCACGAAACUUGCCCCGA